UGUACCGACUGGAUGAGCAGCGAACGGGUGAGUAACGCGUGGGGAAUCUGCCUUUGAGCGGGGGACAACAUUUGGAAACGAAUGCUAAUACCGCAUAAAAACUUUAAACACAAGUUUUAAGUUUGAAAGAUGCAAUUGCAUCACUCAAAGAUGAUCCCGCGUUGUAUUAGCUAGUUGGUGAGGUAAAGGCUCACCAAGGCGAUGAUACAUAGCCGACCUGAGAGGGUGAUCGGCCACAUUGGGACUGAGACACGGCCCAAACUCCUACGGGAGGCAGCAGUAGGGAAUCUUCGGCAAUGGACGAAAGUCUGACCGAGCAACGCCGCGUGAGUGAAGAAGGUUUUCGGAUCGUAAAACUCUGUUGGUAGAGAAGAACGUUGGUGAGAGUGGAAAGCUCAUCAAGUGACGGUAACUACCCAGAAAGGGACGGCUAACUACGUGCCAGCAGCCGCGGUAAUACGUAGGUCCCGAGCGUUGUCCGGAUUUAUUGGGCGUAAAGCGAGCGCAGGUGGUUUAUUAAGUCUGGUGUAAAAGGCAGUGGCUCAACCAUUGUAUGCAUUGGAAACUGGUAGACUUGAGUGCAGGAGAGGAGAGUGGAAUUCCAUGUGUAGCGGUGAAAUGCGUAGAUAUAUGGAGGAACACCGGUGGCGAAAGCGGCUCUCUGGCCUGUAACUGACACUG
rnacentral:rRNA from 1 species